rnacentral:rRNA from 1 species
GCAUAUCAAUAAGCGGAGGAAAAGAAACCAACAGGGAUUGCCUCAGUAACGGCGAGUGAAGCGGCAACAGCUCAAAU